GAUGAACGCUGGCGGCGUGCCUAAUACAUGCAAGUCGAGCGAAUGGAUUAAGAGCUUGCUCUUAUGAAGUUAGCGGCGGACGGGUGAGUAACACGUGGGUAACCUGCCCAUAAGACUGGGAUAACUCCGGGAAUCCGGGGCUAAUACCGGAUAACAUUUUGAACCGCAUGGUUCGAAAUUGAAAGGCGGCUUCGGCUGUCACUUAUGGAUGGACCCGCGUCGCAUUAGCUAGUUGGUGAGGUAACGGCUCACCAAGGCAACGAUGCGUAGCCGACCUGAGAGGGUGAUCGGCCACACUGGGACUGAGACACGGCCCAGACUCCUACGGGAGGCAGCAGUAGGGAAUCUUCCGCAAUGGACGAAAGUCUGACAGAGCAACGCCGCGUGAGUGAUGAAGGCUUUCGGGUCGUAAAACUCUGUUGUUAGGGAAGAACAAGUGCUAGUUGAAUAAGCUGGCACCUUGACGGUACCUAACCAGAAAGCCACGGCUAACUACGUGCCAGCAGCCGCCGUAA
rnacentral:rRNA from 1 species